rnacentral:ncRNA from 1 species
AGAAAUUCACACGGGUGCUGCAAAGCAAUUGCCCUUCCAAGGACAGUUGCGGUGCGGCUGAGAUGUCUCGAACCAGACGAGCAAACCGUAACAAACUGACCCGGGUAAUGCCGGCGUAGUGAGGAAGAAAUACAUGACU